UAUGUUUUGCACAGGUGUAUUCUGCUAUCUUGGUUAUCACAUUUAACACAAGUUAACUUCUGUUUUCAGAUGUCAGACAAAAAAAGCACAUUUGGAACCACUGGUGCCAGGGCUGUAACAGUGGACAACUGACACAUUGACGAAGGGGAGGACAUGGAUGAGGAACCCUCAGUUUUGUGUCCCCAGCACUUCACCAUGAACAAAAACGGACCGAUGGUAAAGGAAGACUGUGACGGAUCGUUACAAGGCACCCGGACCUUCAUCCUCGAUACCUCUCUUGCGAAUGACGGGGAUGUGAAGUAAAUUCUUCCCGUCCGACUCGUUGAAGAAAAAGUAUUCCUCCAGUACGGGGUCCUCUGCUUGCCAUACUAGAGGGACAUAGUCUGUUUCCAUCCUCAACUUGCGGACCUGCCCUGAGGAUGUUUUACACCACUGUUGCGCCUUCAGCCAUGUUGAUUUCCGACUGGUUGUCUUUGGACUACAUGCCAUGGGCUGACUGACCUGAACCUUUACCAGAACAGAAAUACAAUGUUCAUCAGACUUUCCUCACAUUGGACUACUCUCUGAUUAGUUAUGAG
rnacentral:lncRNA from 1 species